UACGGGGGGGGCAAGCGUUGUUCGGAAUUACUGGGCGUAAAGGGCUCGUAGGCGGCCCACUAAGUCAGACGUGAAAUCCCCAGGCUCAACCUGGGAACUGCGUCUGAUACUGGAUGGCUUGAAUCCGGGAGAGGGAUGCAGAAUUCCAGGUGUAGCGGUGAAAUGCGUAGAUAUCUGGAGGAAUACCGGUGGCGAAGGCGGCAUCCUGGACCGGCAUUGACGCUGAGGAGCGAAAGCUAGGGGAGCAAACAGG
rnacentral:rRNA from 1 species